rnacentral:rRNA from 1 species
AGUGAACGCUGGCGGUAGGCCUAACACAUGCAAGUCGAACGGCAGCACAGUAAGAGCUUGCUCUUACGGGUGGCGAGUGGCGGACGGGUGAGGAAUACAUCGGAAUCUACUUUUUCGUGGGGGAUAACGUAGGGAAACUUACGCUAAUACCGCAUACGACCUACGGGUGAAAGCAGGGGAUCUUCGGACCUUGCGCGAUUGAAUGAGCCGAUGUCGGAUUAGCUAGUUGGCGGGGUAAAGGCCCACCAAGGCGACGAUCCGUAGCUGGUCUGAGGGGAUGAUCAGCCACACUGGAACUGAGACACGGUCCAGACUCCUACGGGAGGCAGCAGUGGGGAAUAUUGGACAAUGGGCGCAAGCCUGAUCUAGCCAUACCGCGUGGGUGAAGAAGGCCUUCGGGUUGUAAAGCCCUUUUGUUGGGAAAGAAAAGCAGCAGGUUAAUACCCCGCUGUUCUGACGGUACCCAAAGAAUAAGCACCGGCUAACUUCGUG